rnacentral:rRNA from 1 species
UGGGGAAUAUUGGACAAUGGGCGCAAGCCUGAUCCAGCCAUGCCGCGUGAGUGAUGAAGGCUCUAGGGUUGUAAAGCUCUUUCACCGGUGAAGAUAAUGACGGUAACCGGAGAAGAAGCCCCGGCUAACUUCGUGCCAGCAGCCGCGGUAAUACGAAGGGGGCUAGCGUUGUUCGGAUUUACUGGGCGUAAAGCGCACGUAGGCGGACUUUUAAGUCAGGGGUGAAAUCCCGGGGCUCAACCCCGGAACUGCCUUUGAUACUGGAAGUCUUGGGUAUGGUAGAGGUGAGUGGAAUUCCGAGUGUAGAGGUGAAAUUCGUAGAUAUUCGGAGGAACACCAGUGGCGAAGGCGGCUCACUGGACCAUUACUGACGCUGAGGUGCGAAAGCGUGGGGAGCAAACAGG